ensembl:lncRNA
GGAGAGAGAAAGAGGGAGAGAAUGAGGGGAAAGCGAGGAAUUACUUUAAUUUCAUGCUUGUGAUGAAUGUUUUGGUGUUAUUAUUAUUCUUGAUUCGGCUGAGUUGCAUUAGUUCCCUUCUCCCCUCUUCUCUGUGUUCCCUCAUGCAAUCCGAGCAUCGGGAUGACGGCUUGCCGUCGCUAAACGCCUGCACACGCAUAAAAGAGACGACAAGACGCCAUGCGAGAGACGGGCCCCGUUGUACGGGUGAGGAGACUUCACUGAGAAACUCUCUCCUCCGUCUCUUCUGCAGGGGAAGAAGGGCUGUGUGUCUGGUGGAGGAAUGCAGCCUUACCUCCUCCGAGAGCCGCCCCAGCACUGUGGCGGAGCACAGAGUCACAUCUACGGCUGGACUUCACUGUGUAUAAACAGUGGUAUCUUAGCUUUGAUACCUGCAC